UCAUCUUCUUGUCAUCUCCAUCAUCAUCACCAUCAUCAUCUCCUCUUCAUCACCAUCUUCAUCAUCAUCUUCAUUGCCAUUGUCAUCAUCAUCACCAUCUCCAUCUCCAUCUCAUCACCAUCACCAUUGCCAUCACCAUCACCAUCACUAUCUUCAUCUUCUCUUCAUCUCCAUCUUCAUCACCAUCACCAUCUUCAUCUUCUCUCCAUCUUCAUCUUCAUCACCAUCACCAUCAUCAUCAUCAUCAUCAUCUUCAUCUCCUCAUCACCAUCACCAUCACCAUCUUCAUCUCCUCUCCAUCUUCAUCUCCAUCAUCAUCACCAUCACCAUCACCAUCACCAUCACCAUCACCAUUGCCAUCACCAUCAUCAUCAUCAUCACCAUCAUCAUCUCCAUCUUCAUUGCCAUCUCCAUCGCCAUUGCCAUCACCAUCACCAUCACCAUUGCCAUUGCCAUUACCAUCUCCAUCUCCUCUUCAUCUCCAUCUUCAUCACCAUCACCAUCACCAUCAUCAUCACUAUCUCCAUCUUCUCAUCACCAUUGCCAUUACCAUCUUCAUCUCCUCUUUAUCUUCAUCUCCAUUGCCAUCACCAUCACCAUCAUCAUCUCCAUCACCAUUGUCAUCAUACCACUAUCUAUUGUUUUUCAAAUCAGCUUGAAUCAAUGACUCUAUCAAGGAAACAGUGUACACUCUGUGAGAAAACUAUUCAGUCAAAGAACUAUUUCAAUUAUAUAAAGAAUCAGUGUCUAGAAAAAUUGUUGGCUAUUACUUGUGAGAAUUGUAAUAAAACAGUUUUAUAAAAUCAUAAAUAUAUCAGAGACAAGAGACAGUGUUGUCAGCUAUAUCAGAAAUUGAA
rnacentral:sRNA from 2 species